CCUACGGGAGGCAGCAGUGAGGAAUAUUGGUCAAUGGACGAGAGUCUGAACCAGCCAAGUAGCGUGAAGGAUGACUGCCCUAUGGGUUGUAAACUUCUUUUAUAUGGGAAUAAAAUGUUCCACGUGUGGGAUUUUGUAUGUACCAUAUGAAUAAGGAUCGGCUAACUCAGUGCCAGCAGCCGCGGUAAUACGGAGGAUCCGAGCGUUAUCCGGAUUUGAUGGGUUUAAAGGGAGCGUAGGUGGGUUGUUAAGUCAGUUGGGAAAGUUUGGGGCCUAAUCGUAGAAUUGCAGUUGAAACUGGCAGUCUUGAGUACAGUAGAGGUGGGCGGAAUUCGUGGUGUAGCGGUGAAAUGCUUAGAUAUAACGAAGAACUCCGAUUGCGAAGGCAGCUCACUGGACUGCAACUGACGCUGAGGCACGAAAGUGUGGGUAUCAAACAGGAUUAGAUACCCUAGUAGUC
rnacentral:rRNA from 1 species